AUAUACCAGGCAGGAGUCUCCAUGACAUAUGGGGGCGCUAUGGAGUCCCCUGGACACCCCUGGGGUCCAGCCCCUGUGGCUCAGUUUCAGUGCACAUAACUGGCAUGUGUACCAAAUUUAAUCCCACAUAGAGGGAUGAUCUAUAGUGAAUGUAACUCUCAGGUCAAUCAAUAACUUUUUGAGCCUGACUUUCAGAGCCUGACUCUGACUUCCUGGUUUACGCACUUCCUGCUUCGUUCGCGCCGAGUCCUUUUUCCCGCGAGUGCCGGCGUUAAUUACUAAUCUUUUUUUAACUUUUUUUUUUACAAAUAAAUUUCCAGUAUCCUCUUCAUUUUUAUUGUACUGUCGCUUUAAUUUUUGUACAUUUCACUUUCGCUUUCCUUUUUCCGGUUUUUUUCUCUUUCUUUUUUCGGAAGAACGCCGAGACCGGAAGCUUUCUUUUUCUCUCCUCCUGUGUAAAGUCCACAAGCGGAGGCCAUCCACAUCUGAUCUGCUUUAAUAUCAACAGAUCUUCAUUUAAGCCCAAAUCUGUCCCUCUGAGUUACAUGGAGUCAACAGGAAAUCUUUUGGUGGAGAGGGUGGAGACCUCGACUGGCUAUCGUAGCCUGCAGGGAAUCGGCCGUCAGACAUUCUGUCGCAUGUCCCAGACCCGGUGAAAUGUAACUGAAUUGUCUUGGCCAGCCCUAAGGGUCCCAUCUGCAUCUCAUCAUUGCUGAGGAGUGUGCUCCCAUCACCCAAUCAAGCAUCCAGCCAGAGCAGGUCAUGAUAUAUUUUACCAUAUUAACAUGCCAUUGUUGUGUGUUAUGCCUGAUGUAAAGACUCUCGUCUCUGUGAGCCUACCACACAGAUUUAAUACUUGUCAUUUUUAGGGCAUACCUAACAACAUGUUUUCUUUCUCCCUCUCCCCCCCCCCAAUCUGUCCCUCUGAGUUACAUGUUGAUCCUGGGAUUGAGAUGCUGGCCUCUUCUGCCCCUCGGACCUGCUUGAUCCAUCCUGGUGCCCUGUGUCUGGUCGGAGUUUUAUCGCACCGCUCCUGUGAAGGACGGCCCCAUGAGGACAGUUGAGGGUUAUACCUGUUAAAACUGUUAAUAUUAUAGUCAGGCUGUCUGUUGUUGCCCAAAUGAGGAUGGGUUCCCUUUUGAGUCUGGUUCCUCUCGAGGUUUCUUCCUCAUGUCGUCUGAGAGAGUUUUUCCUUGCCACCGUCGCCACAGGCUUGCUCAUUGGGGAUAGAUUAGGGAUAAAAUUAGCUCAUGUUUUAAGUCAUUCAAAUUCUGUAAAGCUGCUUUGCGACAAUGUUUAUUGUUAAAAGCGCUAUACAAAUAAACUUGAUUUGAUUUGA